ACCUGAGUCGGAGGUUGGCCAUGAACUCGGGCAUGGAAACGGUGUCCAUCAGCACGAAGUCCGCCUUGCCGAACUCCAGGCUCUCCUGCUCCGCCAUGGCGCCGGCGCGCGGGCUCAGGUGGACGCCGACAGGCUCAGGACUGUCUUCUAUCACAAAAUUUGCUAUGAAAUCUAGAGUUGCCUGAAGACCUGACUAGGUUCAACUCUGUGGCUGGAUUUGAGAUGAGUAAAGCAGAUUGAAGGACCCUGCUCAAGGCCUGUUUCAGCUGCCAGCAACCCCCCUUACCAAGGGGAAGGGGAAGGUGAUUUGAGCAUUUCCCAAGAAAGCACCUCUACCCUCAAAAACACACCUCAGCCUCUAGCACAGGCAGAACUAGAUUGCAUCUAUCAUUAGCAUCUGUCCUUUGGAAGACACUCUGGAUCUUGGUGUCAUCGUUUGUGGAGUCGGAAGUCUGGACUAGACAGUUCCAAGGUUGUACAGUAUCAAGAAAAUUCUGAUUUACAUGGCUAACUGGAAAUUUCUUCCUCAUGCAAAUUUAUAUCCAGCCUUUUUAAAAAUCAAUGCACAGCUGCAAUCUUAUUAAUCAGUGAUAUUUAUAAGAAGCGCCAAUAUAUUCAUGCAGAAAUGGCAGGAGAAACUAAACACUGACAUCUGCAUUCA